rnacentral:rRNA from 1 species
UUUUUAAGCUUAGUGGCGAACGGGUGAGUAACGCGUGAGUACCUGCCCUAGAGUGGGGGACAACAGUUGGAAACGACUGCUAAUACCGCAUAAGACCGCAUGGUAAAAGAUUUAUCGCUUUAGGAUGGACUCGCGUCCAAUUAGCUAGUUGGUGAGGUAACGGCCCACCAAGGCACGAUUGGUAGCCGGACUGAGAGGUUGAACGGCCACAUUGGGACUGAGACACGGCCCAGACUCCUACGGGAGGCAGCAGUGGGGGAUAUUGCACAAUGGGGGAAACCCUGAUGCAGCGACGCCGCGUGGAGGAAGAAGGUUUUCGGAUUGUAAACUCCUGUCGUUAGGGACGAUAAGACGGUACCUAACAAGAAAGCACCGGCUAACUACGUGCCAGCAGCCGCGGUAAAACGUAGGGUGCAAGCGUUGUCCGGAAUUACUGGGUGUAAAGGGAGCGCAGGCGGGAAGCAAGUUGGAAGUGAAAACCAUGGGCUCAACCCAUGAAUUGCUUUCAAAACUGUUUUUCUUGAGUAGUGCAGAGGUAGAUGG